AUGGCCAUCCCCAAGGAGGGCGACGACGGGGCACCUGGUUUGUGUCGGCUUGGCACGGGCGCGCGGCAAAUGCUUGGUGCAGCAGCGUUGAGGCACGAACAACGUUGCCGCAGGAGGGUCGCCGACACGAGUUGCUGGCUUGCUGCCUGGCUUAACGGUGACGCGGGCAGGGCACCAUGGUGCUAUCUGAUCCCCUGCCUUGCUUCCGCCGGAUGCGGGCUCUCUCCACUCCUCAUGCAUCCGCCGUGUUGGUCCAAGCAGAGGACGAAGUCCAGCCCUUGCCAACAAAUGCAUCGAUUAGAUAAAAGUGAGAACUAA
rnacentral:rRNA from 1 species